UGCACUUCCUGGUGUAGUCCUGGCCCAAUCUCAUUCUUUCCCCAUGGACCAGCUUGAAUGAAUUGAGUGCGGGAGGACAGAACCACAAGAUGGAAAGAGCCUGGGUCCCUGAAUAAAUUUAUGGAACAAACACCCCCUUUAUCUGCACUGAACUAAGUGGAUGAUGCACUACCUGAGGGAGGGAAUGCAGGAAGAAGAGCUGAUAUCAGAAGAAAAAAAAUUAUCUUGAGGCUGAGGGCCUCCUGUUACGUCCCAGCAGUUAGAGGAGCAGUAAGGACAGGAUUAUGGUGAGGAAGCUCACGCGGCAGCAUAAAGCUCUGGUAUAAUCUUUCUCUCCAUCUGGCAAGUGGGAAUGGACCAGUUAUAUUUCAAGUUUGCUAACAAAGACUGCUUAAGGUAAAUAUUUGUUGCUUUCCAAAGCAAA